rnacentral:rRNA from 1 species
UACGAAGGGGGCUAGCGUUGUUCGGAAUUAUUGGGCGUAAAGCGCACGUAGGCGGACAUUUAAGUUGGAGGUGAAAGCCUUGGGCUCAACCCAAGAAUUGCCUUUGAUACUGGAUGUCUCGAGACCGGGAGAGGUGAGUGGAAUUCCGAGUGUAGAGGUGAAAUUCGUAGAUAUUCGGAAGAACACCAGUGGCGAAGGCGGCUCACUGGCCCGGUUCUGACGCUGAGGUGCGAAAGCGUGGGGAGCGAACAGG